AUUUUGCAGAGCCGUGGGUGCCGUUCCUUCCAGCGCGGCACCCGGCGCCAGCGCGAGCCCGGGUGGAAUUUAGCAUAUCCUACUCCAGAAAUCUGCCCGCGUGACCCAUGGGGACAGGAAUGAAACCGCCAUUCAUUCAAGAGGGCUUUGCCACCGAGACGCCACCGAGGUGCCACCGCUUCCGAGGCAGAGAGCCGCGGCCGGCUGGACAAAUAACGUGCUUCGUGCUGCUCAGGAGCCAGGUCCAGUUAGCAUAGGAGGGGAGCAGCUCUUUAACAGGCCCUGAAGCUUUAUCAUCAGUAUACCCUUACAGACGGUAUCUUAAAUCACGGCAUGAAAUCGAGCCCGUUCUGUGACUGCUGUCUGUGCGUGAGCCACAUCAGCGGCUGGCAGCCCUCCCGAGCCCUGGCAUCCUUCCUCAGCAGCCUCAAGUCCAAUUAGACUUCACCUCAGUAUUGAGUAAAGCUUUCCCUUGUUGCUGGGCCUCAUCCUGCUAUGCUUUUGGAGUUCUUCACACCCCAUUAAGCCCCCAGGAGUUACUCUGGUUUUAGGACUUGCGGAGCAAGAUGAGAACCAUCUGCCUGGUUACAGUUUGGAAGCACGGUGCUGUACAUGUACAUGCACCAUUGCAACUUUGUCAAACACUGCACUCUUGAUAGAAAGGAACCAAAGAGAGAAGACGACAAAACAGGACAAAUACUGCGGCUCACUCGCUUGUAGCUAGUCCUCAGCGUGACCACUAUUCUAAGUCCAAGAUAAAGGCAAUUGUUCAACUGUUUUGAUUUUGGAGACUUUGGUUCCAGACAGAAGUAAGGUUGGAAACAAGGAAGGGUGUUUGUAAUCCAAAUUCCAGGCAUCUGAGGAUCGCAAGAGCAGGGAGACACCUUGGGCUAGCUCUCCGUGCCAAGCACAGACAGGGAGAAGGGGUUCCUGCAACACCCCAUCACUCUCCUGCGCAGGGCUCCUUGGGGUGGGACCUCAGCCAGCUUCCCAAUUGCUGGGAUGCUGGAAAGUGGCUGGAUUCGUUCCAACUAUCUAGUCUGCCAGUCCCAGUCGUCCUCCUGCUCUCAGCAACGCUUGUCAAGAGCCACUCCACUGUAAUGGAUGGGAGUUAAUUCAUGGUAAAGGCAAUGGAAACUGGACUGGAAUUAGUUCUCAUCUGAUGACUAUUAAACUAGCUCUUCAUCAGGUAUGCUUUAUAUAAACAGAGAUUAAAAGAAAAAAAUUAUACUGGAAUUACUCUAAGGAAACUGUAUUUUUGGAGGCCAAAUAAAACUUCAUAUAAUAGCUAUUCUUUAAAAAAAGAGAAUACCACCUUCAAAUCAAUUAUAUCAAGACAUAUAACUACACGCUUAUAUGGUCAAUUAAAUACGUUUUUUUACAACAAACCAUAUUGAAUGCCAAUUAAAGCUUAAACUUUUUUUUAACAAAGCUUUGUUUAGUUAAGAAAUUCCCAGUUUACAUAUUUAAAUUCUCAAGCUAACUCUUUUAAUAUGUAUAGCUAUUAUUAUUGAAUGUACAAAUUAUUUGGCAUAGACUUUUUGAUAUAGUACAAAAUCAGCAGCUUAAGUGUGUUGAAGAACACUGAACUCCAGCAAGAACUGUAGCAAACUAACCUGUGCAAAGAGAAAUCUGUAUUUUAAGAUUAUCUAAACUGAUGUUGACUAAUGGUUUGUUUAGCCAAGAACAAUAUAUUUCCCUCCUACUACGGUUCCUUAUUUAACUGUGUAUAUUUGUCCUCCCUGUGCCAUUUCUAUCACAAAUUCAUCACAGAGGUGGCAAUACAAUAUUUGAUAUACCAAAGGAGCUAGACAGUUAGUCUCAAGAAGUUGAAAGCACAGGUAAGUUGUUCAAAAAUACUGAGCAAAAUUUUAAGACUAAAGUUGAAAGGGAAAAAUGACUUCUAUUAAUUUGGUUUAGAUACUUCUGUUUUAAUUG